rnacentral:rRNA from 1 species
UGCAAGUCGAACGGNACCCCUCUCCGGAGGGAAGCGAGUGGCGAACGGCUGAGUAACACGUGGAGAACCUGCCCCCUCCCCCGGGAUAGCCGCCCGAAAGGACGGGUAAUACCGGAUACCCCCGGGCGCCGCAUGGCGCCCGGGCUAAAGCCCCGACGGGAGGGGAUGGCUCCGCGGCCCAUCAGGUAGACGGCGGGGUGACGGCCCACCGUGCCGACAACGGGUAGCCGGGUUGAGAGACCGACCGGCCAGAUUGGGACUGAGACACGGCCCAGACUCCUACGGGAGGCAGCAUG